rnacentral:rRNA from 1 species
UACGAAGGUGACAAGCGUUGUCCGGAUUUACUGGGCGUAAAGAGCGCGCAGGCGGUCGAUCGAGUCGAGUGUGAAAGCCCCCGGCUCAACUGGGGAGGGUCAUUCGAUACUGAUCGACUCGAAGGCAGGAGAAGGUAGUGGAAUUCCCGGUGUAGUGGUGGAAUGCGUAGAUAUCGGGAGGAACACCAGUGGCGAAGGCGACUACCUGGCCUGUUCUUGACGCUGAGGCGCGAAAGCUAGGGGAGCAAACGGG